AUAGCUCACUAGUCGAGUGCACUUGCGCGGAUAAUGUACCGGGGCUAAGCAUAUUACCGAAACUGUGGAUGCGUAAGCAUGGUAGGAUAGCGUAAUUAACGCGAUGAAGGAUGACCGUAAGGACAUGUUGGAGCGUUAACUAGUGAGAAUUCCGGUAUGAGUAGCGAAAGAUAGGUGAGAAUCCUAUCCACCGAAUGAGUAAGGUUUCCCCCGGAAGGCUCGUCCGCGGGGGGUUAGUCGGGACCUAAGGCGAGGCUGAAAAGCGUAGUCGAUGGACAACAGGUUGAUAUUCCUGUACCGAUAUUUAAUUGCCGAAGGAAGGACGCAGAAGGAUAAC
rnacentral:rRNA from 1 species